UACAGAGGGUGCAAGCGUUGUUCGGAAUUAUUGGGCGUAAAGCGCGUGUAGGCGGCUAUGCAAGUCGGGUGUGAAAGCCCUCAGCUCAACUGAGGAAGUGCGCCCGAAACUGCGUGGCUUGAGUACCGGAGAGGAUGGCGGAAUUCCCCAAGUAGAGGUGAAAUUCGUAGAUAUGGGGAGGAACACCGGUGGCGAAGGCGGCCAUCUGGACGGAUACUGACGCUGAGGCGCGAAAGCUAGGGGAGCAAACGGG
rnacentral:rRNA from 1 species